GUGUUCGUAAAAAAGAGAGAUGGUUGGGAUCUUCCCCCACAGGGAAGGAAACAAACUAUGGGUUUUAUCUGUUACCACACAUCCGUUUAAGGCAUUCGACCUUGCUGAGAUUAGUAAAAGGAUGUGGUGUU